rnacentral:rRNA from 1 species
UACGAAGGGGGCUAGCGUUGCUCGGAAUUACUGGGCGUAAAGGGCGCGUAGGCGGAUAUCUAAGUUGGGGGUGAAAUCCCGGGGCUCAACCUCGGAAUUGCCUUCAAAACUGGGUAUCUUGAGUUCGGGAGAGGUGAGUGGAACUCCGAGUGUAGAGGUGGAAUUCGUAGAUAUCCGGAAGAACACCAGUGGCGAAGGCGACUCACUGGCCCGAUACUGACGCUGAGGCGCGAAAGCGUGGGGAGCAAACAGG